CGCGUAGGCGGCUUGCCAAGUCAGUGGUGAAAUCCCGCAGCUUAACUGUGGAAGUGCCUUUGAUACUGGCGAGCUCGAGGGAGGUAGGGGUAUGUGGAACUUCUGGUGGAGCGGUGAAAUGCGUUGAUAUCAGAAGGAACGCCGGUGGCGAAAGCGACGUACUGGACCUUCUCUGACGCUGAGGCGCGAAAGCUAGGGGAGCAAACGGGAUUAGAUACCCCGGUAGUCCUAGCCCUAAACGUUGGGUACUAGGUUGUGGACUUACAUGGGUUCACAGCCGAAGCAAAAGUGUUAAGUACCCCGCCUGGGGAGUAUGGUCGCAAGGCUGAA
rnacentral:rRNA from 1 species